rnacentral:rRNA from 1 species
UGAAAUGUUGGGUUAAGUCCCGCAACGAGCGCAACCCUUAUCCUUUGUUGCCAGCGGUCCGGCCGGGAACUCAAAGGAGACUGCCAGUGAUAAACUGGAGGAAGGUGGGGAUGACGUCAAGUCAUCAUGGCCCUUACGACCAGGGCUACACACGUGCUACAAUGGCGCAUACAAAGAGAAGCGACCUCGCGAGAGCAAGCGGACCUCAUAAAGUGCGUCGUAGUCCGGAUUGGAGUCUGCAACUCGACUCCAUGAAGUCGGAAUCGCUAGUAAUCGUGGAUCAGAAUGCCACGGUGAAUACGUUCCCGGGCCUUGUACACACCGCCCGUCACACCAUGGGAGUGGGUUGCAAAAGAAGUAGGUAGCUUAACCUUCGGGAGGGCGCUUACCACUUUGUGAUUCAUGACUGGGGUGAAGUCGUAACAAGGUAACCGUAGGGGAACCUGCGGUUG